GACGAACGCUGGCGGCGUGCUUAACACAUGCAAGUCGAACGGAAAGGCCCUGCUUUUGUGGGGUGCUCGAGUGGCGAACGGGUGAGUAACACGUGAGUAACCUGCCCUUGACUUUGGGAUAACUUCAGGAAACUGGGGCUAAUACCGGAUAGGAGCUCCUGCUGCAUGGUGGGGGUUGGAAAGUUUCGGCGGUUGGGGAUGGACUCGCGGCUUAUCAGCUUGUUGGUGGGGUAGUGGCUUACCAAGGCUUUGACGGGUAGCAGGCCUGAGAGGGUGACCGGACACAUUGGGCCUGAGAUACGGCCCAGACUCCUACGGGAGGCAGCAGUGGGGAAUAUUGCACAAUGGGCGGAAGCCUGAUGCAGCAACGCCGCGUGCGGGAUGACGGCCUUCGGGUUGUAAACCGCUUUCGCCUGUGACGAAGCGUGAGUGACGGUAAUGGGUAAAGAAGCACCGGCUAACUACGUG
rnacentral:rRNA from 1 species